AAAAAAAAUGGCCAAAUACGCGCGCGGUUACCAGUAAUCUACAACAAAUUUCCGGCAUCAUCUAGAGGAAAUCAUCAUUGGACGUCAGCCCUCCUUUUCAUCAUCAGCAGCAGCUCCAAGUUUAAAAUUAAUAGGACCAGGUGGACUUCCAGCAAGCACCGCUAGCGGAAUGACCAUCGAGCGAAGCACCGGAAAAGAUCUCAGCAGCAGUAGGGACAAAGGCGGGAUGUGUUUCCAGUGUCGACCCAGAAAGUGGCUGCAUCAUCAUGAUAGUGUUCGAAGUUCCCGGCGGAAAGAAGGAAAUUGCUCGGUAGACGUGUUACAAAGACAGCAACCGGCGAGACUCAACUUUCGUGUAGAUAAAGUGCGUGCCAACGGGAUGCUAACGGGAUCAUCCGUAUUUUUACGGCAACAUCCAAAGAGAAACUUCCAGCAGCAACCGGAAAAUUCAAAAUGUCAAUGGCUCCGGACUUCGACUGGAUACAUGGCUGAAAGCGAGCAAUUUUUUUGUGAAAUUUAUCUAUUUUAAUAAAUAAUAAAAUGUAUUUG